GUAUAUGGCCAUACUACCCUGAAUGCACCUGAUCUUGUCUGAUCUCAGAAGGUAAGCAGGGUCAGGACUGGUUAGUACUUGGAUGGCAAAAUAGCUAGUACACUUCCAUCUUCC
rnacentral:rRNA from 1 species